CUUGGAGAUUCAAGCUACCAACCUUUCGGACUAGCACAAAGCUCUAACCGCUAGACUACCUGCCUCCCAUAGCAUAGCAAUAAUUCUGUACCUUUUCCAUAGUGGCAACAUUUGACAAGGUUUAUAGCACUCUAGAACAAAACAACAAGAACUACAAUCAACAACAACAAAAUAUAUAUAUAUGCUACACCAGGACUUCAGACAGUGAACUUACUCAGCCGAGUAAACAAACAGCACUCCUCAGAAUUUACAUUCAAUGCAAAGUGUGUUUGCUUUUCGUUUAUACUGUUCUUGGAGAUGCUUGUAUGAUCUUUUUCCAACAACUCCACAAGAUGGACACAGCACCAAAUAUGCACUCAAGAUGCAGACGGGGGUCUGAGGAAAGGGGUGUGGUUCUCCUAGAGGUGCUUCCUGCUUCCUCUAUGACACUUUCACAUAUCCUGUGUCCAAAAUGGCACCAUAUUUGGAUAAUGUUUCAGAUGCAGACUUUAACAGUGGAGAGUGCACAAGAAGGAAUGCUAGCCCAGUAGCUUGGUUACACUGAAUCAGUUACAAAGUAACUUUAAAAAAAAAAAUUCAAACCAACCAACCCGCUGGUACUAUAUGACAUUUUGUUAGCGCACUUCAUUUACGGCGAGUUGCAUAAAAGUAUGUUUAAGCUAUUGCCCUGUCCCCUUCCCUGUUAUUUGUGUGUCUUCGUAAUUAUUAUAAUUUUUUUCCUGGAAGCUAUGUGUCUGAAUAGACAUACAGGGCCUUCAGAAAGUAUUCAGACCCCUUAACUUUUUCAAAAUUUUGUUAGGUUACAGCCUCAUCCUAAAAUUGAUUAAAUCGUUUUUUUUCCCUCAUCAAUCUACACACAAUACCCCAUAAUGACAAAGCAAAAAUAGGUUUUUAGAACAUUUUGCAAAAAACCCCAGAAAUAUCACAUUUACAUAAGUAUUCAGACCCUUUACUCAGUACUUUGUUGAAGCACCUUUGGCAGCAAUUACAGCCUUGAGUCUUCUUGGGUAUGACGCUACAAGCUUGGCACACCUGUAUUUAGGGAGUUUCACCCAUUCUCUGCAGAUCCUCUCAGGCUCUUUCAGGUCGGAUGGGGAGCAUUGCUGCACAGCUAUUUUCAGUUCUCCAGAUAUGUUCCAUCGGGUUCAAGUCCGGGCUCAGGCUAGGCCACUCAAGGACAUUCAGAGACUUGUCCCGAAGCCACUCCUGCGUUGUCUUGGCUGUGUGCUUAGGGUUGUUGUCCUGUUGGAAGGUGAACCUUAACCGCAGUCUGAGGUUCUGAGCGCUCUGGAGCAGGUUUUCAUCAAGGAUCUCUCUGUACUUUGCUCCGUUCAUCUUUGUCUCAAUCUUGACUAGUCUCCCAGUCUUUGCCGCAGAAAAUCACCCCCACAGCAUGAUGCUGCCACCACUGUGCUUCACCGUAGGGAUGGUGCCAGGUUUCCUCCAGACGUGAUGCUUGCCAUUCUGGCCAAAGAUUUGAAUCUUGGAUUCAUCAGACCAGAGAAUCUUGUUUCUCAUGGUCUGAGAAUCUUUAGGUGCCUUUUGACAAACUCCAAGCGGGCUGUCAUGUGCAUUUUACUGAGGAGUGGCAUCCGUCUGGCCACUCUACCAUAAAGGCCUGAAUAGUGGAGUGCUGCAGAAAUGGUUGUCCUUCUGGAAGGUUCUCCCAUCUCCACAGAGGAACUCUAGAGCUCUGUCAGAGUGACCAUCAGGUUCUUGGUCACUUCACUGACCAAGGCCCUUCUCACUUGAUUGCUCAGUUUAGCCGGGCGGCCAGCUCUAGGAAGAGUCUUGGCGGUUCCAAACUUCUUCCAUUUAAGAAUAAUGGAGGCCACUGUGUUCUUGGGGACCUUCAAUGCUGCAGAAAUUUCUUGGUACCCUUCCCCAGAUCUGUGCCUUGACACAAUCCUGUCUCGGAGCUCUACGGACAAUUCCUUCGACCUCAUGGCUUGGUUUUUGCUCUGACAUGCACUGUCAACUGUGGGAUCUUACAUAGACAGGUGUGUGCCUUUCCAAAUCAUGUCCAAUCAAUGUAAUUUACCACAGGUGGACUCCAAUCAAGUUGUAGAAACAUCUCACGGCUGAUCAAUGGAAACAGGAUGCAUCUGAGCUCAAUUUCGAGUCUCAUAGCAAAGGUUCUGAAUACUUAAGUACAUUUAUUUUUAAAACAUUAGCUACAAUUCUAAAAACCUUGUUUCGCUUUGUCAUUAUUGGGUAUUGUGUGUAGAUUUCUGAAAAAAUAGUUGUAUUUAAUCCAUUUUAGAAUAAGGCUAUAACGUAACAAAAUGUGGAAGCAGUCAAGGGAUCUGAAUCCUUUCCGAAGGCACUGUAUGUACUGUACAUAAAACGAAGUAAAUAAAGAAGUAAUUUAUCUAAGAAAUAAUUGAAAGCUGAUCCAAACUACGUUUUAUUUUCUUAUAAAGGAUUCAGUGACUUUCCAAUAGUAGGGGAGAUUGGGGUAAGUCUAGGCAAUAUACACAAAAUUAAUAAUUUGAACAAAUAUUUAGGAAGAGGUAAUCAUUUCAUGGAGUCUGUGAAGGAAGAAACCACAUGGAAAAAGUGGUGAGCAAGUUACGUCCAAAAAACAGAUUUUCACCAAGUCAAAUGAAUUUAUUGAGCUAAACGUUUUAUGAUGCUUGUAUCUAAACCAAAGUACAUACUUUUAAGAUUGUUCUAUACAUAAUUUGGGGUCUCUAUAAGCUUCAAUAUGAGGUCUUUAACCUAGCAUAAAAGUGUGUCCUUGUAGCUGUGUUGGCUAAUAUAGUAAAAAUGUUGCCUUGGGGUAAGUUGAGCCAAUGGCAAGUUGAGGAUAUUGAAGUGUAAGGUGUAAUGCAAGGCAUUAUCGCCGGAAUAAGAGGCAACAACAGGGCCUAUGUUAAAAAAGUACAAAGUGUUUGUUAGAGGUUAAACCUGUGGUUAAAAGACAAAAAAGGGAUUGUGUUGAUUUGUUUUUGGGAAAUAAAGAUAGAUGUGGUUUUAAAGAAGUUGUGGAAAUAUUUAAUUCAGUACAGAAAUUUGCAGGAGGCUUAACUUACCCUGUCCUGCGGCUCAAUUUACCUCAGUAAGUUGUGCCAAAGACCACUAUUUUUGGAGAAGCUAUGUUUUCAAAGCUGUAAUGUUUACAUGAAUUAUGAUUAUUUCUGUGGACACACAACAUCCUGAAAUAUAUGUAGAUAUCUUUGUAAGAUAUAAUACUAUAUAUUUCCCUUAAUGUGUGAUUACAUUCAAGUGAUGUUGAAUGUAAAACAUGUCUCAACUUACCCCACUCUCCCCUACAACCAAGUGUAAGUUAUAUAAUAUAAUUACUAAUUAAUGUUUAUAUUUGAAUUAACACUCUUUCUUCUGUUUCUCAGCAGUGUCAUUAUUUUGUAAACUCCAUACAUCUCCGGGUCUGUUGCCCAUGUGGAACUCUCUGUCAGUCAGUCGGUCACUACUCCACUACUUCUCUCUGUGCACGCCAACGUGCACGCCAAGCCAGCGUGCACGCCAUGCCAUUCUGUCUCAGUCUGGGUCCACUGGUCACAUAAGAAUCUCUCUGUUGUUCACGGGUAAUUGUACUUUUUUUAAAAUGUAUUUAUUUAUUCAAAUUGUAUCAUUUAAAGAGCUUUGAUUCUUUAAAGAAUAAAAGCUUUUCAUGUUACUAAACUAGAAAAUCACAC
rnacentral:lncRNA from 1 species